rnacentral:lncRNA from 1 species
CAGGCUUCUGUGCAAAACCCUUUCCUAGACAUCCCUCAGAACAGGGCAAGCCCAGGCUGCUAGUGUUUCUACUGUUUGCUCAGGGUCUAAGGUGUUGGAUCCAAGUUAUGAUGCUUGCCUUGCCCCCUCCCUUUCACUGACAGCAAUGACUUGUGCCUGGUGAACUGCAGUAGUGUUCUGGGACAAUCAGGUUCUCUAAGAGAGUUUGCAAUCUUUCAAGAGAUAGAGUAGUGGACAAAUUUGAAUAGCGGGGUGAGACCAAUACGCGACAUGACAGGGUAGAAGUCUUUUGUCAGCCCUCGUUGUCUUGUAACAGAUGCCUGGAGCAAGAGGGAAGGAGGGCAGGAAGUACCUGGUUUGCAGGGGGAGGAGAAAGGGAAACCGGUGUGAGCUACGCUGACCAUGAUUCCACAGUGCUUGCUGCUGCCCACCAGAUAUCCUGAGCGUCAUUUGAUCCUUAAGAACUCCAAAAAGGUUGAGGCUUUCAAUGAGAGAGGAGUAAUCCAUUUAUGCAGUUGUUUGGAGGCUGGAGGCCAAGCAUGUGGGAAAUAUUUCUUUGGAUUUGACCCAAGGAGCAGAUGGAAACAGGCACAAGGCACAAGGGGACUCUUCUGGCUAGUCAGUGGAUACUUGUCAGUUUCCUGCUUCCAGUCUAAAGCUUCAUCUUUCUCCCCUGUGACACCAUGUCUUUAGUCUGCCUGUCUCCUGAGGAGAGCUGGGCUGUGACAGAAGACUAGGAUGAAUCAUGCAAACCUCAGAAUGGCGUGCUGCUGGUUAGGGAGUGCCCUCAACUUGGGCUGCUUGGUUAGUGUUUGAGGUGUGGUGCUGAAUAAAAUCUUGUGCCACACACCCUGCCCUAAUAGCCCUGUGUCAUGUGUUUACUGUUCACACUCAUUGUCUUAAUCUAC